ACCCCAGUAGCGCAAUGGCAGCGCGUCGGCCUCCUACGCCCGAAGUAAGCCGAAGGUUGCGGGUUCGAGUCCCGUCUGGGGUG
rfam:Salpingoeca sp. ATCC 50818 unplaced genomic scaffold supercont1.38, whole genome shotgun sequence.